GGGACAACCCGCCGAAAGGCGGGCUAAACCCGCGUACAUGCCACCGGGGCAUCCCGGAGGCAGGAAAGGCUUCGGCCGGACAGGGAUGGGCAUGCGGCACAUUAGGCAGUAGGCGGGGUAACGGCCCACCUAACCGACGAUGCGUAGGGGUUCUGAGAGGAAGGUCCCCCACACUGGUACUGAGACACGGACCAGACUCCUACGGGAGGCAGCAGUGAGGAAUAUUGGUCAAUGGUCGGGAGACUGAACCAGCCAAGCCGCGUGAGGGAGGAAGGUACAGAGUAUCGUAAACCUCUUUUGUCAGGGAACAAAGACUGGGACGCGUCCCCGGAUGAGUGUACCUGAAGAAAAAGCAUCGGCUAACUCCGUGCCAGCAGCCGCGGUAAUACGGAGGAUGCGAGCGUUAUCCGGAUUUAUUGGGUUUAAAGGGUGCGCAGGCGGUCUGUUAAGUCAGCGGUCAAAGCCCGGGGCUCAACCCCGGCCCGCCGUUGAAACUGGCAGUCUCGAGUUGGAGAGAAGUAUGCGGAAUGCGCGGUGUAGCGGUGAAAUGCAUAGAUAUCGCGCAGAACUCCGAUUGCGAAGGCAGCAUGCCGGCUCCACACUGACGCUGAGGCACGAAAGCGUGGGUAUCGAACAGGAUUAGAUACCCUGGUAGUCCACGCAGUAAACGAUGAAUGCUGGCUGUCCG
rnacentral:rRNA from 1 species